UACGUAGGGUGCGAGCGUUGUCCGGAAUUAUUGGGCGUAAAGAGCUUGUAGGCGGUCUGUCGCAUCUGCUGUGAAAAUCCGGGGCUCAACCCCGGACUUGCAGUGGGUACGGGCAGACUAGAGUGUGGAAGGGGCAAUCGGAAUUCUUGGUGUAGCGGUGAAAUGCGUAGAUAUCAAGAGGAACACCUGAGGUGAAGACGGGUUGCUGGGCCAACACUGACGCUGAGGCGCGAAAGCCAGGGGAGCAAACAGG
rnacentral:rRNA from 1 species